GACGAACGCUGGCGGCGUGCUUAACACAUGCAAGUCGAACGGAAAGGCCCUGCUUUUGUGGGGUGCUCGAGUGGCGAACGGGUGAGUAACACGUGAGUAACCUGCCCUUGACUUUGGGAUAACUUCAGGAAACUGGGGCUAAUACCGGAUAGGAGCUCCUGCUGCAUGGUGGGGGUUGGAAAGUUUCGGCGGUUGGGGAUGGACUCGCGGCUUAUCAGCUUGUUGGUGGGGUAGUGGAUUACCAAGGCUUUGACGGGUAGCCGGCCUGAGAGGGUGACCGGCCACAUUGGGCCUGGGAUACGGCCCAGACUCAUACGGGAGGAAGCAGUGGGGAAUAUUGCACACUGGGCCGAAGCCGGAUGCAGGAACGCCGCGUGCGGGAGGACGGCCUUCGGGUUGUAAACCGCUUUCGCCUGUGACGAGGCGUGAGUGACGGUAAUGGGGAAAGAAGCACCGGCUAACUACGU
rnacentral:rRNA from 1 species